AUAUCACAGGAGAUUAAUCCAUUGAUGAAGUCAGAGCCCCCAUGACCUUAUCACUUCUCCAAAUCACUACUCUUGAACGUUGCUGCAUUGGAGAAAGAACCUGAUUUGGACCUCAGAAAACCAGAAUAUUAUGCAAUGAAAGCAAAAGAUACCAAGGAUUCAUUGAAGGAAAGCUUCCCAUAGGACAUGAACAAUUUCUCCAGGUGAAAAUUUUACUGACCUAACUCUGUGAAGGAAAUAUAUUAUGUAGAUGCUACUAUCUGGAAAACAUUAAUACAGAUUUGUGAAGUUUCACACAUUCUGAAGGAUAUUGCCCAUUUUUGAAAGAUACCUUGAAACUGCAGUUUGGCAAACCAGGGAAAUUCUAUGGCAAUAUAAAAUAUAGGAAAUUUAUGCACCAUCUGGCAACCUGAGUGUUUUUCUCAUCAUUGCAAGUCAGAGGCAUGUGUAAUUAUCUCCUUGAAAGGGAACUUCUCAAGAACAACAAGUCUACAGAGGAAACUAUUUUACCACAGAUAUUUCAUAUGACAAGUAUAUAAAGUAAGGGAUAGAAGAAGGAUGCACCAUAAGAAGCAGGAAUGUGAAGAGAAGAGAAAUAUUCCAAAGAUGUAACAUCUGA